AUUGAACGCUGGCGGCAUGCUUUACACAUGCAAGUCGAACGGCAGCACGGGUGCUUGCACCUGGUGGCGAGUGGCGGACGGGUGAGUAAUACAUCGGAACGUGUCCUGAAGUGGGGGAUAACGCAUCGAAAGAUGUGCUAAUACCGCAUAUACUCUAAGGAGGAAAGUAGGGGAUCGAAAGACCUUAUGCUUUUGGAGCGGCCGAUGUCUGAUUAGCUAGUUGGUAAGGUAAUGGCUUACCAAGGCGACGAUCAGUAGUUGGUCUGAGAGGACGACCAGCCACACUGGGACUGAGACACGGCCCAGACUCCUACGGGAGGCAGCAGUGGGGAAUUUUGGACAAUGGGCGCAAGCCUGAUCCAGCAAUGCCGCGUGAGUGAAGAAGGGCCUCGGGUUGUAAGGACGUACUUUCUAGUCGUAGAAGAAAAGAAG
rnacentral:rRNA from 1 species